GAGGCACUGUUCAGCUUGCUGAACAGUUUUAGUGGNGGACGGNUGAGUAACGCGUAAUAAUCUGCCCCUGGGAGAGGGAUACCAAUUGGAAACGGUUGUUAAUACCUCAUGUGCUGAGGAGUGAAAAGGUUUACACCGCCUAGGGAUGAGCUUGCGUCUGAUUAGCUAGUUGGUGGGGUAAUGGCCUACCGAGGCAAUGAUCAGUAGCUGGUUUGAGAGGACGAUCAGCCACACUGGGACUGAGACACGGCCCAGACUCCUACGGGAGGCAGCAGUGAGGAAUUUUCCGCAAUGGGCGAAAGCCUGACGGAGCAAUGCCGCGUGGAGGAUGACGGCCCGUGGGUUGUAAACUCCUUUUCUUGGAGAAGAAUAACUGACGGUAUCCAAGGAAUAAGCAUCGGCUAACUCCGUGCCAGCAGCCGCGGUAAUACGGAGGAUGCAAGCGUUAUCCGGAUUCAUUGGGCGUAAAGGGUCCUGAGGUGGCCUGCUUAGUCUACUGUGAAAGCUCAGGGCUUAACCCUGACAAUGCGGUGGAAACUAGCAGGCUAGAAUACGGUAG
rnacentral:rRNA from 1 species